rnacentral:rRNA from 1 species
AGAUUGAACGCUGGCGGCAUGCCUAACACAUGCAAGUCGAACGGGAGUAGCAAUACUCUAGUGGCGGACGGGUGAGGAAUACGUAGGAAUUUGCCCUUAAGUGGGGGAUAACCCGGGGAAACCCGGAUUAAUACCGCAUGACCUCGAAAGAGCAAAGUGGGGGAUCGCAAGACCUCACGCUUUUGGAGAAGCCUACGUCGGAUUAGCUAGUUGGUGAGGUAAUGGCUCACCAAGGCGACGAUCCGUAACUGGUCUGAGAGGAUGAUCAGUCACACCGGAACUGAGACACGGUCCGACUCCUACGGGAGCCAGCAGUGGGGAAUGUUGGACAAUGGGACGCAAGGCCUGAUCCAGCAAGUGCCGCGUGUGUAGGAAGGAAGGCCGUUGGUUGUAAAGCCGUAACUUUAACGGUUAGGGAAAGAAAAAACGUACG